AAACCCAGGGCCAUGAAUUCUUGGGCUGAGGGUACCAAGACAACCCCAUUAGAUGACUGGGAAGAGAGGCUAGGAAAGGCCCGUGAUGUCAUUGUCUGCUGCCACCAUCAGAGUGCACUCAUUAUGUGCUCAAAUGUGCACAGUGUCUCAUUGGCUGCCGGACAAAGCCAGUGCUGCCCUCCGGGGGUCGGCAGGGUGGGGCUGAGGUGGGCUGCAGACCUCAGGCCCCAGGGCUCAGCCCCCUCACACAUGUGCUUCCUCAAAUGACCUUAAGCUCAGAAAAUAAGAUUCAGAAGAACUGGUUUGAGAGUGUUCUCUCAGACCAUGAAACAUUUCUUGUUUAAGAAUCAGAACAGAUUACAAAAACAAGAACAAUAACAAACCCAAAUAUUAGGAAAACAAAGGUCCAGAACACAGGGGAAAAGUGAAGAGUUAAUAGGAAGUAGAAGUUCAUUUCUGAAAAGUUUUGGGACUGAUAUGAUCAGCCUGUCUGAAGUUGGUCAGGCAGUUCUCUAACCUGGCUAUUCCAACACGGGACCAUGAAAAACAAACCUGAAGCAAAUGGCACUUUGGUUUUGGCCUUGGAAAAAGGAGACCGAGAGAGAAUGUAGUGGCAAGAUGCUUAAAACAAUAUGCAGAGCAGGGGAGGCUCUCUCCCCCAGAGACGUGGUGACAAAACCUUUGCAGGUCUGACUCCUGAUGCUGACAAGGAUUUGUUCUGCCGCAAGGAGCUAAUGAGCCUUCUGCUGGCGUCAGAACUGCCAAGGUCACGGAUUUCAUUAGCGUUUGCAACUGCUGCUUGUUCUGAGCGCCCGGAUUUUAAAGUUUGGAUCUCUGAAGCUGUAUCUGCAUCUCAGGAAAAGGCAAAGCAGGGUUACCUUUGCUCUUCUGCAUCUCGGCCCCAGGAGGAGGGAACAGCCCUUCCAGACAGAAGAUGCAACAAUAAUCUACACGAAUCACAAUGCCAAAGAGAUUCAUCUCAUUUGUCAACUCUGGCCAUUUGACAGAAGCUGCCAGGAACUGUGUGUUGAGAAGAAUUCUGAAGUCUGCCCACAUCUUUGUUAUGAGUCAUGCUGCAAAUAAAUCCUCCUCGAGUUAUCGUAAUUAGUGAGCCCUGUUUCCUGGUGGAAGAUGGAUGUGAAGAUUAUAGUAUGGAAGGUCUUCCUUUCUGAUGAAGCUAUUCAGGUCUGAGACACUGAGGACUACCAGAGGGGAAGGAGAUGGCUGCUUUGGCUGUCACACACAGCAAAUCUGGUGCAUCAAGAGAGUGACAGCUAAUGGUCAUUUGAUAAGAUUGGUAUUGUGCCGUUUCUCUUUAAAGGUAGAAGCUCAAACUUCUAAGUCCUCUAAGAGGAAUAAGCCAAGAGAAAUAUUCAGAUGACUUACACACAAUAUUCCCCAUGUCACACAAACCCAUCAUCUCCAAUCUUUACAAAUUAUCCCAACUAUUGCUGGAGGUCCCCACUUAAUGUGUUUUUUAAUGUGUCCUGCCAUUACCAUGAUCAAAUGGCAUUGGACACUCUCCUCCUUUUAUGCCUUAGCCCCUUCGCUGAGGACUCUUGCAUUCACUGCUGGAAAACCCACCUGACAAUACCCGGUCACCUGACUACUGAUGGAUGCUCAUGCUCAGAAUCCAUUAGUGGAGACCAGAAAGUUGACCUCUAGUGGGCUCAGGACAUGUCCACCAAACAUGCCCACAACUGUCUGAAUCUCAGCAAAAGACUUGAUUUAAGCUCAAGCAAGAACUUCAGGUAUUUGUGGGCAUCCAGAGAAGCUUAUUUUGAGCCUUCCCUAGGUAUCCCUGUACUUACUGUCCUUAGUCCUUUAAAGAAUGUUGGUUUUGAUGGACACGGACCACUGGGGCAAGGACAAAGAGUGAAUCCAAUGAAGAGAGGAAGAUCUGGGUGUCACUGCUGAGCGACUAUCAUGGGCAGUAUCAUGGGCAGGUCGACGAGCACAGCCCAGACGACACUAAAAUGCUGUAAGAGUACACAUUUAAUUUAUUCACCCACUCAUUCAUCCAUUCAUUUAAAAAAUAUUACAGUCACAGAUUUCCCCAAUAUUUCUGCUUUGCUGGGCCUCAAACAGCACGCACAACCCAUCAUUCCUUUCUGAAGCAAAGCAUGUAAGGAUGAAGAGUUGGACAUGGAGCAGCAGCAUAGGUGCAGCUCAUGCUCUUUUUUUUUUUUCUUUUUUGUCCACAUUCACUCCCAA